GAUGAACGCUGGCGGCGUGCCUAAUACAUGCCAGUCGAGCGAACAGACGAGGAGCUUGCUCCUCUGACGUUAGCGGCGGACGGGUGAGUAACACGUGGAUAACCUACCUAUAAGACUGGGAUAACUUCGGGAAACCGGAGCUAAUACCGGAGAAUAUAUUGAACCGCAUGGUUCAAUAGUGAAAGACGGUUUUGCUGUCACUUAUAGAUGGAUCCGCGCCGCAUUAGCUAGUUGGUAAGGUAACGGCUUACCAAGGCAACGAUGCGUAGCCGACCUGAGAGGGUGAUCGGCCACACUGGAACUGAGACAGGGUCCAGACUACUACGAGAGGCAGCAGUAGGGAAUCUUCCGCAAUGGGCGAAAGCUUGACAGAGCAACGCCGAGUGAGUGAUGAAGGUCUUCGGAUCGUAAAACUCUGUUAUUAGGGAAGAACAAAUGUGUAAGUAAAUAUGCACGUCUUGACGGUACCUAAUCAGAAAGCCACGGCUAACUACGUG
rnacentral:rRNA from 1 species